rnacentral:rRNA from 1 species
CUAAGGUAGCAUAAUCAUUUGUUAUUUAAUUGGUGGCUGGAAUGAAUGGUUAAACUAGCUUAUUAAGUUUGUGUAGCUAGAUAGUAGAUUAAAGUUAAGGUAAGAAUUCUUUAAUUUUCUAGGGGACGAUAAGACCCUAGAAGCUUAACUAACGUAGUGGUUUGUUUUAUAAGUUUGUUUGUUUUACUGGGGCGGUAAAAAUAAUUAAGCUUUUUAAGGAUCCUUAAAAUAAAGAGAGAAUGGAGAAGUUACUCUAGGGGUAA